rnacentral:tRNA from 3 species
GGAGGAUUCGCCUAGUGGCCUAGGGCGCACGCUUGGAAAGCGUGUUGGUGGCAACGCCUCGCGAGUUCGAAUCUCGCAUCCUCCG